rnacentral:rRNA from 1 species
GCUUUCUUUGCUGACGAGUGGCGGACGGGUGAGUAAUGCUUGGGAAUCUGGCUUAUGGAGGGGGAUAACUACGGGAAACUGUAGCUAAUACCGCGUAAUAUCGAGAGAUUAAAGGGUGGGACCGCAAGGCCACCUGCCAUGAGAUGAGCCCAAGUGGGAUUAGGUAGUUGGUGAGGUAAAGGCUCACCAAGCCGACGAUCUCUAGCUGGUCUGAGAGGAUGACCAGCCACACUGGAACUGAGACACGGUCCAGACUCCUACGGGAGGCAGCAGUGGGGAAUAUUGCACAAUGGGGGGAACCCUGAUGCAGCCAUGCCGCGUGAAUGAAGAAGGCCUUCGGGUUGUAAAGUUCUUUCGGUAGCGAGGAAGGCAUUUAGUUUAAUAGACUAGAUGAUUGACGUUAACUACAGAAGAAGCACCGGCUAACUCCGUGCCAGCAGCCGCGGUAAUACGGGGGGUGCGAGCGUUAAUCGGAAUAACUGGGCGUAAAGGGCACGCAGGCGGUGACUUAAGUGAGAUGUGAAAGCCCCGGGCUUAACCUGGGAAUUGCAUUUCAUACUGGGUCGCUAGAGUACUUUAGGGAGGGGUAGAAUUCCACGUGUAGCGGUGAAAUGCGUAGAGAUGUGGAGGAAUACCGAAGGCGAAGGCAGCCCCUUGGGAAUGUACUGACGCUCAUGUGCGAAAGCGUGGGGAGCAAACAGGAUUAGAUACCCUGGUAGUCCACGCUGUAAACGAUGUCGAUUUGGGGGUUGGGCUUUAAGCUUGGCGCCCGUAGCUAACGUGAUAAAUCGACCGCCUGGGGAGUACGGCCGCAAGGUUAAAACUCAAAUGAAUUGACGGGGGCCCGCACAAGCGGUGGAGCAUGUGGUUUAAUUCGAUGCAACGCGAAGAACCUUACCUACUCUUG